rnacentral:rRNA from 1 species
AGCAUGCGGAUUAAUUCGAAGCAACGCGAAAGAACCUUACCAGGUCUUGACAUCCCGAUGCUAUUCUAGAGAUAGAAAGUUACUUCGGUACAUCGGUGACAGGUGGUGCAUGGUUGUCGUCAGCUCGUGUCGUGAGAUGUUGGGUUAAGUCCCGCAACGAGCGCAACCCCUAUUGUUAGUUGCCAUCAUUCAGUUGGGCACUCUAGCGAGACUGCCGGUAAUAAACCGGAGGAAGGUGGGAAUGACGUCAAAUCAUCAUGCCCCUUAUGACCUGGGCUACACACGUGCUACAAUGGUUGGUACAACGAGUUGCGAGUCGGUGACGGCGAGCUAAUCUCUUAAAGCCAAUCUCAGUUCGGAUUGUAGGCUGCAACUCGCCUACAUGAAGUCGGAAUCGCUAGUAAUCGCGGAUCAGCACGCCGCGGUGAAUACGUUCCCGGGCCUU